AAAAAGGCAAACCGCGAGUUUGCGUGCCAACGUUUGACUAUCCGUCUUAUAUGAAAUUUUUUUAUAAUUAGUAUUUUUAUUGUUGUUAGAUGAUAAAACAUGAUAAAUACUUUAUGCGUGACUUAUCUUUCUAAUUUUUUUCAUAAUUUUUCAAAUAAGACGGAUGGUCAAACAUUGGAUACGGAAACCAGGGUUUGUCUUUUU
rnacentral:pre_miRNA from 1 species